GCGACCCCAGUCAGGCGGAU
rnacentral:rRNA from 2 species